CUUCAGGAAAAGAAAAAAGUCGAUGUAUCAAAAUCUACAGGGUCUGGUACGGAGGAUAUUUAUACACCAAAUUUAUCUUGGUUUGGUAGUAUGACUUUUUUGGAUGAUGUCACUACGCAGAGAAAGACAAAUUCCACGCCAUCAGUUGUAAAAUGCGUGAAAAAAUCAACAAAUAAAGAACACAAUACAACAAUCACACAAGAAACUCCCCGAAGUACCAAUUCGGAAUCACAGUGUGGUAAACGAGCUCGUCGCCAAGAAACAAAUGUAGAUAGAGGGUUAGAAGAUGCCGUA